AGUGACGUACGCCCGGUUGCCCGGCCCCUCCCGGAAGUGCGCGACGGACCCGCAGGCCCAGCCCAGCAGCUCCAGCCAUGUAGCCACCGUUCGCGGCGCGAGGGGGGCGGUGCGUCGGCGCUGCCAUGGAGCCGCUAGACAACAGGGAUCCUCUUUUUCCUCCACCUAAUGAGACUGCAGACCUUCCACUGCCAAAUUUAACACCAAGGCAUCAAGAACUUAUUCCUACGCCCUGUGGCCCUAUAAAACCUUGGUCAGAAUUAUCCUCCCCUGUCAAGAUCUACUUCUGUGUAACUAUCCUCUCUCUACUGAGUGUAAUAGGAAUAACCACAGAGACCCUCUUUCAACAGACUCAUGAAGAUUUCACCAUUUCUCUUAUACAGUUAAUUGGAGUUGUGUUCUGCGUGUACUAUGUAACCAGAGGGAUCCUGCAGGAGAAUCGCCAAGAGCUCAUUGUCUUCGUUCUCUCCAUCUUGCUGGUGAUGUUUCGAUCCAUUGUCAACUUCACAGUUGUCUCUGCUCAACAAAAGCCAAACGUCCUGGCCCGCUUCAUUCUGAUCCUCUUAGUUGGAUCCUUUGACGUGAUCUGCGCCAUCAUCCUCAUUCAGAGUCAAAGCAUGAUGGCCUUCCGAGUGGGCGGGGCUCUAGAAAGCCUCCAGUCACAGUAUUUUAUGCUGAACCUCUGUUUUUCCAUGUUGACCUUUGAUCUUCAGGCACAGCAUCAUCCUAGCAGUUGGCAUCUUCUGGGCUUGCCUAAAAGUGACCGUGGGCAUCAUCGCAAGUUUCAGGUACUGACCACUUGCUGGAGGCAAGAUCCUGGGCUUGAUGGACCUGUGGCUGGUCUGUCCAAACGUAAAUCCUGUGGGGACAGUUAUUCCAGGCAGAUUUUAAAAGAGCUAAAACCUCUGGUCUGGAUUUUUCUGAGUCAGAACAUACCAGAAGUGGCUAAUCUCGUCUACCUGCUCUACAUGGGAGCGGCACUGGAAGUCUCUCCCAUGGCCACAGCAUCAAGAAAGAAGGCAGAAAUCCCCUAGCACAAGAUAUGCAGCUCUUGAUAACACCACCCUCCCUCCCCCAAGAGGUGUCUCUGCAUACAAACAGCUUCUACACCAGCUGCAGGCCCUCAGGGUCGGAAUGUGCUGAAGAUUUCCGUAGGCAGCGCAACCGCCACCCUUUCCUCCAGACACAGCUCAGACAGCAUAGACACAGCAAACUGCAGUGCCAAGGUGCUUAUCACUACGCUGCCCCAUCCGCACCAUUUGCACGAGGAGAGAGGAGGUAGAGAAUGAGCAUGGGGAAGUGCAAAGCAGCUUACUGCACGUCGGAACGGCCUGAAUACUAAGAGGAGUUCAUGUUUUUCACACCGGCCUGAGGGGUCACUGCUGGACAAGCCCCUUCGCUUUGGGUCUGAGCCAGAGAGACAGGGAUGUAAGCCAAAUCCCCCUUGUGGCAGUUCUGAACACUCCCACCAGACCCCUGAGCUUUCUGGACACAUUCCUGUGCUAUUACUUCUUGCAGCCACGCCUCAGUGAACCCCAGUAUUAAUCCCAGGUUUCUGACAGCCACAGGGUCAGCAGAAAUAAUUCACGCUUCUCCAGGAGUGAAAAGCACCAUGCCUGUACUUAAAUAACAGCCCGACAAGAACAAAGCCAGCUGGGAGGGAGGUUCCUUUGGUCAAAAUAAUCCAUCCUCCUUGAGGAGGAAUUGGCAGCACCUGAGCACCGGGGAGCUCGAACAGAGGCCCUAGCCGUGUGAUAAGUCACUGGGGCCAGGAACUUUCCUACGCCCUGGAAGCUGCCGUCAUCAUUGGCUCUUGCAUCUCCAUCGCAAUAAAAUCUGUUCUGUUCUGGGCACUGCUCCAUGUCUAUCGCAGCUUUGGACAG